AGAUUACUCCCUCCGUCCGGAAAUACUUGUCGAAGAAAUGCAUAAAAAUGAAUGUAUCUAGAACUAAAAUACAUCUAGAUACAUCCAUUCCUCCGACGAGUAUUUCUGGACGGAGGGAGUACAAA
rnacentral:pre_miRNA from 1 species